UACGGAGGGUGCAAGCGUUAUCCGGAUUCACUGGGUUUAAAGGGUGCGUAGGUGGGUUGGUAAGUCGGGGGUGAAAUCCUGGAGCUCAACUCCAGAACUGCCUUCGAUACUGGCGAUCUCGAGUUCGGGAGAGGUGAGUGGAACUGCGAGUGUAGAGGUGAAAUUCGUAGAUAUUCGCAAGAACACCAGUGGCGAAGGCGGCUCACUGGCCCGAUACUGACGCUGAGGUGCGAAAGCGUGGGGAGCAAACAGG
rnacentral:rRNA from 1 species